CAGCAGCCGCGGUAAUACGAGGGGGGCAAGCGUUGUUCGGAUUUAUUGGGCGUAAAGGGUGCGUAGGCGGUUUGGCAAAUCUUGUGUGAAAUCUUCGGGCUCAACCCGAAGCCUGCACGAGAAACUACCGGGCUUGAGUAUUGGAGAGGUGAGUGGAAUUUCCGGUGUAGCGGUGAAAUGCGUAGAUAUCGGAAGGAACACCUGUGGCGAAAGCGGCUCACUGGACAAUAACUGACGCUGAUGCACGAAAGCUAGGGGAGCAAACAGGAUUGGAUACCCCGGUAGUCCCUGUCUCUUAUAA
rnacentral:rRNA from 1 species